rnacentral:rRNA from 1 species
AGUGAACGCUGGCGGUAGGCCUAACACAUGCAAGUCGAACGGCAGCACAGUAAGAGCUUGCUCUUACGGGUGGCGAGUGGCGGACGGGUGAGGAAUACAUCGGAAUCUACUUUUUCGUGGGGGAUAACGUAGGGAAACUUACGCUAAUACCGCAUACGACCUACGGGUGAAAGCAGGGGAUCUUCGGACCUUGCGCGAUUGAAUGAGCCGAUGUCGGAUUAGCUAGUUGGCGGGGUAAAGGCCCACCACGGCGACGAUCCGUAGCUGGUCUGAGAGGAGGAUCAGCCACACUGGAACUGAGACACGGUCCAGACUCCUACGGGAGGCAGCAGUGGGGAAUAUUGGACAAUGGGCGCAAGCCUGAUCCAGCCAUACCGCGUGGGUGAAGAAGGCCUUCGGGUUGUAAAGCCCUUUUGUUGGGAAAGAAAAGCAGCAGGUUAAUACCCCGCUGUUCUGACGGUACCCAAAGAAUAAGCACCGGCUAACUUCGUG